rnacentral:rRNA from 1 species
GAUGAACGCUGGCGGCGUGCCUAAUACAUGCAAGUCGAGCGAACGGACGAUGAGCUUGUUCCUUUGACGUUUGCGGCGGACGGGUGAGUAACACGUGCAUCAUCUACCUAUAAGACUGGGAUAACUUCGGGAAACCGGAGCAAAUACCGGAUAAUAUACUGAACCGCAUUGUUCAUUAGUGAAAGACGGUUUUGCUGUUACUUAUAGAUGGAUCCGCGCCGCUUUAGCUAGUUGGUACGGUACCGGCAUACCAAGGCAACGAUGCGUAGCCGACCUGAGAGGAGGAUCGGCCAAACUGGAACUGGGACACGGUCCAGACUCCUACGGUAGGCAGCAGUGGGGUAUCUUACGCAAUGGGCGAGAGCAUGACGGAGCCACGCCGCGUGGGUGAAGAAGGUCUUCGGUUCGUGAAGCACUGUUAUUAGGGAAGAAAAGAAGUGUAAAUAAAGAUGCACGUCUUGACGGUACCUAAUCAGAAAGCCACGGCUAACUACGUG